CCUACGGGAGGCAGCAGUGAGGAAUAUUGGUCAAUGGACGCAAGUCUGAACCAGCCAUGCCGCGUGCAGGAUGACGGCUCUAUGAGUUUUAACCUCCUUUUGGACGAGGGUAAACCCCGAUACGUGUAUCGAGUUGGAAGUGUCUUACGAAUAACGAUCGGCUAACUCCGUGCCAGCAGCCGCGGUAAUACGGAGGAUACGAGCGUUAGCCGGAUGUAUUGGGUUUAAAGGGUGCGUAGGCGGUUUGAUAAGUUAGAGGUGAAAUGUCGGGGCUCAACCCCGAAACUGCCUUUGAUACUGGUGGACUUGAGAAUAGUAGCGGUAAGCGGAAUGUAUGGUGUAGCGGUGAAAUGCUUAGAGAU
rnacentral:rRNA from 1 species